rnacentral:lncRNA from 1 species
CAUCUCUCAAUUCAUGAUAUAUGAAACCAUCAAGGAGCGUAGCUCAUGGAAAUUGGAGCUCCAUUUUAACAUAUGCCUUGCAUUUACUUCAAGACUAUGGCAAAAACCCAUUUUGCUCCCCUCUUUUGAUGUGAAACCAAGUGGGUUUUAAUUUGUCAGUUCUCACAUACAAAAGGGCAUCAUGAGUAAACUCUGCCUCUUUUCCUCCUUUAUGAGUUUCCAAGAUUGUGCUAGGUGCUUUUAAGUGAAGGAGAAGGCUUAUCGAGAAAAUUCAGGGAAAUUAAAAAAAUGGAAAAACCUUCAGAGAGAGGGAGGUAAUGCAUGGAUGGUUGGCAGACUUAAACAAUUAUAAAAAAUUAUGCCCUCUUAAAAGGCAGGGUGUUCCAGAAGUAAGAGGAAAAAGUAAAAACUUGUAUUAAUUCUUUGGCCGACUGGUAUUGGACGGUUUUGACUUUUUGGUGACCUGUAUGGAUAUGAAUAUAACUUGGAUGGAAAGGUGGCUGGGUCUUGAUCCUAGCGUUGGAUCGGCCAACUCUGGUAGCAUUUGCUACAAGUUGAUGUUUGCAAAAGUUUUCUUCCUCCAGAAGGAGCAGGCUGGGAAGUAUUGCCCUAAGAGGACUUCAUAUGUCUACAGGGGCCAUAAUAGGUGCAGGCCCUGUCCAAUCAUAUUCGUAUAUUUUUAGUACUCAGCACAAUAUGUUAAAGAAGCGUGACAUGCUAGAUUUGGGUUGGGCAUGUAUCUUUUAGAAGCUAAAAUAUGUGGUGACUAUGAGUAUUUCACUGUCUUCAAUCAGAAAUGUGUUUCCCUUGUUUUAGUUUCGCUAGAUAUUUGGCACGAUCCCACCUUUGCGAUUGGGAUUGAAUUUUUGGUUUUUAAGUAUUUGGGUUCUACUUCAUGCUUUAUAUCCAAUGUUGAAUGAUUUUCCGUGAGUGACAUUGCAAUCUGCCAGCAAAUAUAUUUCAAGGUGUCACAUAAUAUCACAUUCUCGAGAUAUGCAUAAAUAUGACCAUCAAAGCUUGAUGUCCUUAUGUUGAUUAUUUCCUAUAUUAUUACAUAUAAUUUUAUUUGAUAUAUUUUUGUAGUUAAUGUUUUUUCUCAACUUUUUGCAGGUUACGGCUUCUGCUUGGUUGAAUGACCUGAGGAAUCAGAUUGAACGCACCAGGGUUCUGAGCACAGUUUAUCGCUCUGCUUCAGCUUUGGGUUCUCGACUUCCAUCCAUGGCCAGUGCUAAAGCCAAAGUUGCUGGUGCUGGUGCAAUAUUACGUCCAGUUUCCAGCGGUACUCAGGUAUGUAUAUUGCGGUCAUGCAAUCAGUUCUGCUUUGGAUUGUUGUGGCAAGGGAAAAUAGCAGCUGAGGUGCCCCAACCUUUGAUGUGUUGCACUUUGGUCUGUAACCUCUAAUAUGAAGCAUUUUUGUCCCAAGGUUUCAUUUUAGUUUUAGUAGCACAUGGUCCUCAGGUCGACAACUUUACCCAUAUUUUUAGUCAACAAGUCAAAAUUUUAUUAAAAAAGACGAUUUCACCCUUAUUUUAUGUAGACAAAAAAUGAAAUAAAUAACCAAAGAAACAAUUAGGAAUAAAAGAGAAGGCAAAGGAAAAAUGGGAAAAAAACAAAGAGAACAAUUUGGGUUCUCUUCUCCAGUCGGUCACCCCACCACCAUACCACCCUCCUCUAAUCUCCAUUUGCCACCAGUGACCAGCCAACCAUACUUGUAGAGACAUAAACCAGCUGCAACCAACAACCUUCAAAACUGAACCCUCAGAACCCCCAAGUCUAGUCUGUAUUCAACCACCCAAAGAAAUAAAACUGCGAGAGAGAUUGUUCAAUAUGUUUAUAGCAACACAGAAAAAAAAAUGCUAGUUUAAGCAUGUCUCCAUAAAUUUUAGGUAAAAAUUGUACUUGUGAAUUUUUUCUUUCUUUCUCCUUGUCUCUGUUAAAUGAAAAAUGAAGGAAUACUCUAGUAACAUUCAUUUUAAUUUUAUACUAAAUUUCUUGUACGGUCUAAUCCGGUUCGCCAAACACACCCUUGACGGUUUUGCUUUAUGCACUAGAAGUACAUCUCUGAUUGACACUGUGAUAUGGGUUUGAGAAUAUGACCCUAGAGGCUGUCCAUUUUGCCUUCCCUAUCAGUACCACUAACAAAAUACUGGGAGCUUCAUAAUGUGAGGGGUGGUAUUACCUUUAACCAUAUGUGCCUAUGUAUACUUUUUGAUCUUUAUAAUUCCAGAUGUAUUUAGUUCUAUUAUAUAGGACUGAUGUUGUUGUGUUAACUAGGUUGUUAUGAAGAGAGCACAAAGCAUGGCUCAGGCAGCUUGGUCACGCCCUUACCUACGCUCAUGGUCAUGCAUAGGUCCACGUCGUCGAUCCUCAAUUGCUCAGAUAAAUUAUAAUGAAGGAGAAGACUCAUCAGGAUCUUCUUCAACUCAAAGAGAAACUUCGGAGCCUUUUCUCACGACCACUGAAGAGACAAGAACGGCUAUUGAAAAUAUGGAACUUCCUGUAUCUUCUUCUGAUGGAAUGGUUGAGAGUUCAGACAACUUUAUAGAUGAGGUUGGUGUCUCAGAUAGUAUGGCUACUAAGGAUGAUGAUGACGAGGUUGCGUAUGAUGUAAGGCAUGAAGAUCACACAAUGGAAAUAGAGUUGUGGGAACAACUCGAGCUCAAGCUUAAUGAGCAAGCUGAUAGUGGUGAAGCCGAUGUGGCCAAGGAAAUUAGGGAAGAAGAAGAAGCAGCCAUUGCAGAAGUAAGUGACAGCCAGACCCAAAGCUCUAUCCCAGAUGCCAAGGAGGUGCAUAGAUUUUUCCCUCCGGGAAAGAUAAUGCAUAUUGUGACACUAACAUCCGACGAAGUGGGCCGUGAGAGUGAUAGCAGUAUUUCCAAUGACGGGGACCAAAGCCAGCCGGAGGAAGAGGCGAAGGUUGGAAUUUUUCUCACUCCCAGGUCAUUGUAUAGUAAAUUAAGGCUAUCGCAUACCAUGAUAAACGACCAUUUUAUGCCGGCUUAUAGAAGACGAAUUGAAAAGCUGAUUAAAGAACUUGAGAAUGAAGUGACUUCUGAUACACACAAUUGUAGCUGAGAAAUUGAACAGGAAGUGCUGUAAACUGUUGGUAGUGAAUUUUGGUCGCAUCUUAAGUGUUAGCAUCAAGAGGACUACACAUAUCCUUAAAGGUGACGUCUUUAACCACAAUUCUUUGUUCUGAAAAUGAUUUUGACAUGUGCAUAGGCUUAAAGAGUUUUCAUUUCCAUUGAUAGUGAGAGUCCCUUUCGCAAUCAUGAAUUCUAUAUUACAUCAUUAAAAGCAUUAUUUUCUUUGGUCCAUCGUCUAUUAUAAAUACACCAAUCACCAUAUGAAUGAGAAAAUGUUGCCUAACUUAUUUAACAAUUUUAAUGCCCACUUGACUCUUUGCACCACUUUGAAUCUCUAAAUCAUUUCAUUUAAUUCUUAAUUUGCUUUGAAAAGACAUUCUCUUUUUCUUGGCCACCCAUAAUUUGCACGUAAUGAUCCUACAAUCGCUAGUGUGUACGCACGAAUAUAUUCAAGUUUAUACACGAGGACGAGGAAGGUAAACGUGAAAGAAUGUGUUACAAGAGACGCAUAAGAAGUCGACUAGAAGUUCGUACACCUCCAAAUUUGUUUCUUGAUUCUAUUUUGAUCUUAUUCGCAAAAGACCAACAAUAAGAUUCAUUCUAGUUUAUCAAAAUCCAAGAAAAAUUUAAAAUGGAUAUGAAGUAGAAGAGGCAAAAGUCGGAGCAAAAAUGGCCUUUGAUUUGUCCAUGCAUUUAUUUCUUAGAAUGGGCAUGCAAAGUCUACCAUAGUUUGGGGCAAAAUUAAAUGAGGUAGAUAUAAAUUAAUGAGAAUGUGAAAGAAACCUAACAUUGCAUCAAACGAUUUCUUCUUUGCAUAAUAAAAAAGAAUGAUUUUCUUUCUUUUUUUUUUAUUAUUAUUUUAGUGUAAAAAAUGAAUAAAAGUUUUUAGUUUCACAUUUGGAUAGUCCUGAAAUCUAGCUGGAAAAUGAAAAUAACACGUCUGAGUGGAACACGUGGCAACAAACCAUUGAUUGAUACGGCAUAAAGAAAGCAACAUAAUCCUUCUUCUUUAUAUACGCAGAUAACACGGAGUCGACGAAUAACAGUAAUAUACAAAUUACUUCAUACCAGCGACUGUUUACGUGUACUCUACCUCCAUUAAUCGAUCUCUCUUUUUAAAAUUUAUUUGAUUUGAUUUGAUUGAUUCACAUUCAUAUUCAAAAAUCUCUCUAUACCAAAUCAUCGUAUCCAGUUUUCUGAAAUGUCUUUCAUGCACACGUUCUUCGUUCCUGAGGAAGCCAAGGUGGGCGACUGGGAGAAGGAAAGAUAAGAAAACCCAAAUUAAACAGGAUUUACUUGUAGAUAUCCCUCUUGAUCAGGUAAUUUCUUGGCAGAAUUCUGUUUUUUAUUUCAUGAAAAACCCAUGUUUAGAUUCAUCAUGUUUGUGUGAAUUUGUGGUUUUUCAGGCAUGUCGACGAGUGUAUUCGGUGAUUCGAUGGUGAAAAUUACAGGACAAAAUGAGCUUGAUUUUGUCGAAUGCGAUUGCUGUGGAUUGACAGAGGAAUGCACCCUGUCCUACAUAGAGACAGUACGCGAGCGUUAUAAGGGAAAAUGGAUUUGUGGGCUCUGUUCCGAGGCCGUAAACGAUGAAGUUAAGCAAAAAUCAAUAAGCCCAGAAGAGGCCAUGGCUCGCCAUUUCAGCUUCUGCUACAAAUUUAGGUUGGCUGGGCCACCGCCGGACCCAACCCGGCAUUUGAUCACCGCCAUGAGACAGGUUUUAAGAAAAAGCUUAGACAGUCCCAAGUUCAUAAGGUCGAUGCCAAGUAGUCCCACGAAGAACAGGGGAGAUAUUAGCAUGGGGCUUACUCGAUCGGAGAGCUGUAUUCCGAGUCUGUCUGAAUCGGUUUGUUGUGGAAUUGAUGAAGAUUGUGAAUAACCAGUAAAUUCAAAGUUUCACUGUGUAUAAACAAGAAACCAAUGAAGUUUAACUCAAAAAGUGCUUAAUUCAGAUGUAUCAAUAUCAUCAAUCAUGUUAAGAAAUGAAAAUGGAAAUAAAAAUUACUUGCCUAUAAUUUGUGUCUGGUGUUUUCUUUCAAUUAUGUGGUUAACAAUAAUUGAGAUUCAUAUUCAGAUUUUAUAAUGAUAGGCUAUUGUCAUGUCUGUAUCUUGACGCGAAUCGAAUUGAAUACAAGCAAGCAAUUUG